rnacentral:SRP_RNA from 1 species
CCUGUGAUACACACACCUCUAAUCUGAGCCGCUGGGGAAGGUGAAGCUAUGGAUCUCUAGAGCUCAGGAGUUUUGAGCUGCAGUGGACUACACCAGGGAUGUCCAUACUAAGUUCUACGUUAAUAUGGUGACCUCUCUGGGAGAUGGAAGGCCACCACGUUGCCUAAAGAGGGGCAAAAUAACUCAUGUUGGAAAUUGAACAAGCUUAAGCUCCCAUGAUGAUCAGUGGGAUGAGGACUAUGAGUAGCCCCUGAACCUCUAAACUGAGUGACAUGAGGAGACCCAUCUUUUU